rnacentral:snoRNA from 1 species
UUCCAAGACCAGCUGCAGUUCCUGAGGUCAAAGAGCAGCUGCAGCUCCGACAGAGGGCAUAGCAAAAACACCACUUUUGGGUAUAGUGGCAACAUGCAUUGUUUUUCUUCAGUUGGUGGUUUAAGAAGG